GACGAACGCUGGCGGCGUGCUUAACACAUGUAAGUCGAACGGUAAGGCCCUUCGGGGUACACGAGUGGCGAACGGGUGAGUAACACGUGGGUGAUCUGCCCUGCACUUCGGGAUAAGCCUGGGAAACUGGGUCUAAUACCGGAUAGGACCCUGGGAUGCAUGUCCUGGGGUGGAAAGCUUUUGCGGUGUGGGAUGGGCCCGCGGCCUAUCAGCUUGUUGGUGGGGUGAUGGCCUACCAAGGCGACGACGGGUAGCCGGUCUGAGAGGGUGACCGGCCACACUGGGACUGAGAUAGUGCCCAGACUCCUACGGGAGGCAGCAGUGGGGAAUAUUGCACAAUGGGCGCAAGCCUGAUGCAGCGACGCCGCGUGAGGGAUGACGGCCUUCGGGUUGUAAACCUCUUUCAGCACCGACGAAGCGCAAGUGACGGUAGGUGCAGAAGAAGGACCGGCCAACUACGUGCCAGCCGCCGCAGUAA
rnacentral:rRNA from 1 species